rnacentral:lncRNA from 1 species
UGGGUUUCUGAAAAUAAAUCUCGAGAACUUAGUAAUGCUAGGAAUAAAAUAAAUAGCAGCUUAGAACUUCAUGUAUAAUAUCAAUGAAUUACCUAGACUCAGCUUAAACAUAUGCCUCCACAAAGUUUAGGUUCAGAGUAAAUUUUUAUAUCAAAGUGUUCAUGUCUAAAACUCUGGAGAAUUUAUGGUUGAAAACUAGGCACUUGAAAGGAAUUAUUGUAGAGCAACUAUUCAUCAUCUCCAAGAUAAAAUUUUAAUGUUCUCUAAUUUUUAUUUGACUCUAAACUAGACUGAUUGUAGACACACUCUAUGAUCACACCUUAAUAUAUAGAUAAGUAUUUUGUUUUUGAUUUUAAAUUAUUAUUCAUCUUUUUAUUUCUAUUGGACUCACAAGACUUAAAAGACAUGGAUCUUCAUGUGCACAUAUAUUUUUGGUAUUUUUAUAUAUUCUUAUGAUACUAUUGUGAUCCUUCAUGUGCUCACAUAUUUUUGGUAUUUUAUGACUAUAUAAAAUAGACUCGAUAAUCGCCUAGGUAUAGUUACCUGAUAACUAGGGGAUGCUCCUCCCUCAAGCUAGAUGUUUGCAAUACUUGGUGUUGAUGAUCUUUAGAGUGAGCUAACCGGCAGCCCUCUAGGUGGGUGCCACUAAUAGACUCUCUCCUUGUCAUAAUGUUCUUCCUACAUAAUUACACUCCAAAAAGAAAACCAAAACUCGAGGCUUGAAUUUAAUAAUGGGUUAGCGGUCAGCCAGUAAGUGAUUGAUUGUUCUUUGAGUUGAUUUGAAUUGACAAAUUCAAGUAGGAUUCUUUUUUUAGGAUUUUCUAGUUUAAUUAUGUAGAAAUUAAAUAUGUGUGCAUGAUAUAUAUAGUUGUAUUUUUUAUGCCUCCAUAGAGAAUAUUUAUUCUUCUGGGGCAUAGGUUUUUUUUCAUACUGCAAGAAGGUAAAUACAUGAGCUAUUAUUAUUUAUGCCACCCCAGCAAAUAAUCCUAUAUGGUUAUCAUAAGUUUGUUCACGUGGGGCUUUAAGUAUUUUAUGAUGUAGUAAAUGAUGGAAUAAAGAUUUUUGUUUUUUAUUUUAUUUUUAAUAUUUACGAAGAUGAAUAUGUUAAGAUAAAUUUAUUAAUAUAGACAGAAAUACUAAUUAAAUACAUAACUAUCAUAUUACCUUAUGGUAAGAAUAUAAUUUUUUUAAAAUUUACCGAAGGACUUCUUCUUCCACUCUUGUGUAUCUCUCCAUCGUUAAUAGUAGCUGGCAGCAUCUUGCUCAGUGUGCAUGUUCAUAGAACUUUCACUUGUAGGAUUAAUAAACUUUGCUUGAUGUGUUGUCCUGUUUGCAAAACUAAGGUAGAGAUCAGGUGCAUGGGCUCUACUGGUGGAAAAACACCAACAAAACCAAAUCUAUUUCUUUAUUGAUUUUUCUCUAUACUUAGGCACAUUAAACAAGAUAAAGUUGUGUUACAUGAUUUAUUUAUUUAUAAGUUGUAAGAUCAAAAGAUUAAGCAGUUAAUGUUGCAUUUAAGUUCACAUGAUAGAAAAGAAUGAAAUUGCUUAACCAAUGGAAGGAUUGUCUAUCUCUAUAUAAAUUUCAAAUAAGUAUGACUAUCAUCUUCCCAAGAUUGAAUAUAAUGUUUUAACUUGUUUAGUUAAGACUGAGAUUAAGAGAAUGGUGUCAUGAACAAUUUUAAAGAGCAAAGCAUAUUGAGUUAAUCAAUUUAAGUUAUAACUCUAAUAUGUUUGGGUCUUCACUUAUGUGCACACCAAGAUCAAGAGAAGAGAGUGACCACUUACCUUCGAAUAUUACCUUCAUUAUUAGAGCGUGAUGGCACUAACCGAUGAAGGGUAAAUGACUGGUGAUCCUUCCUCUUGCAUCUUGAGUUGUUCAUAGACAUCUUGUCUCCUCUGUUGCAUUCAUUCUUUUGCCAUCUUUUGUUUCUUUAAUCUGUUGACUCUUUUCACUCCAGUCAUUAUUAUGCCUGCAACAGAUUAGUGGACAACACAUACCCGAAGAAGUAUACAAGUUUUUAACAUAGGUUGCUUGUCCAGUAUUUUUUUUACUCUAUCUAUGAUAAUAAAAAGAUAGUAUUAAUAUUGUUUUAGCAUAGAUCAUGUUUUAUACAGACAUGGCUCGAGGCAAAAUAACUUGUAGUAGAAGAUAAAGUGAAUGAAUCAUUAAUGUUCACAGUUCUUUUAUUUGUGAUGACUGAGUUGUCUUCUUCUACAAAGUUAUCAAAGUUCAUGAUGUGCUGCUCUGUUUUAUAUGUGAAUUGAAUUCAUCUCCUGACUUACCCAAAUUCAAUUUAAAAAUUUUCCUACAGGGGUUAGUCCACAAAAUAUCCAAUGUCUACUACAGUAUAUUAUUAGUUCAAAAAUCAACCUAGACACCACGUCUAAUUUGAUUUAGGAAGGCAUUUUAACCUAAGCACCACGCUUAAUUCAA